AAGUUCUUUACAAAUUUUCCAGAAUUUUAUUUUUUUCAGAUUUAAGCACCAAAUUAUUAAACAUUCCUUAGUCUUUUUAUCAACUCAUUUUGUUUCAUUUCAUUUUCACAACACUUUGUUUCCUCCAUUCUUCCUUAGAUCUCAGAUCUCUUCUCUCUUAUGACAUCCAUUACAGAAAACUCCACAUCCCUUCUCCCAAACCAAUCUAUGGUAUGUAUUACUACUAAUCACCCCUUUUCAUUUUCUUGAUCCUUUCACUCAUUAAUUGUUAGAUUGUAAUAUCAUAACUAGAAUAUUAGUUUCUUAGUUUUGAAUAAGUUGGUUAUAACUAACUAAGUGAGUUAGUUAAAAACCAAGUUAGUUAGUUAGUUAGAAAGUUUGUUACUUGCUUUCUAAGCAAGUGUGUUUUUAGAUUGUAUAAAUAGGGAUCAAUUGUAUCAUUUGAAUAAUGGCCCUAUGUGGAAGAAUAAAUUUUUUCUUUUCUCUUCAUUAGCAAUCUCGAGUAUUCACUCCUUCCUCAUUCGAAACUCACUCAAUUCAUUCGAAGCACGUUUGCUCGAAAACAGAGAUCAUGCUCAUGGACUUGCCUUGAGCCUAUGCAAAUUGUGCAGUGUGUGUGUUUGAUGCUUCUUGGAUCCGUUAAAUUUCAUUUUGUUAUGUUGGUUAAAUGAAAGAUUUGAUUUUUACAUGAUUUUGUCAUGUUAGUCUAAAGAAAUAUUUGAAUUUUAUAUGAUUUUGUUAUGUUGCAGAUUUCAGGAACAAAUCUCUCCAACUAUUCAAUUCCACUUUCAAUUUUUUUUUCAAAAUCGAAUCAACACAAAAAUUUGUUUUUUAUAUGAUUUUGUCUUGUUUCAAGAUCAAUGUAUAUGUCAUAAAAGUCAAUUUGGGUUUUGGUGAUUUAGGAGUUUUGGUAUUAGAAAAAUUGGGGAAAUGAUUUGAAGGAAUGAUGAACAUGAUAGAGAUGAUGAAGAUCUUCAUCUUUUUCUGAUUUUUAUUUUUUUAAUUAAAAUAUAUAUAUAAAAAAUAAAAUUAUCUUAUUUGGC
rnacentral:lncRNA from 1 species